GAGGUGCUAAUAACCGCUCAUAAAAUAAAAUAUUUAUUAAAUAAAUGUGAAAUGUCAGUCAAGCAUCUUUACGUAUUUAUACUUAUAUUUAUAAAUUCAGUGUGUGCCAACGAAGAAUAGUAAAAGGUACACGCACACAUGCACAGAAGAGGUACAUGGUGUACCUAGUAAAAGCUAGAUCCUCAACGGAAACUAACGACAAUUUUCUCUGCGGUGGGACAUUAGUCACCACCUCUCAAAUACUGACUUCAGCUGCGUGCAUCAUACGCCUGGAUAACUUAUACGCUAUAGCUGGAUAUAGGAAAUAUGUCAAUGGCAUGGAUCUCGAAAAUGAUAACUGUACAAAGCAUAAGAAAGAAAGGAUUGUUAAGAUUCGGGUGCCGAGAGG
rnacentral:lncRNA from 1 species